UGAUCGGUGCUUGCACCGAGAUUCAACAGGGAACGAGUGGCGGACGGGGGAGGAACACGUGGGUAACCUGCCCUUAAGUGGGGGAUAACAUUUGGAAACAGAUGCUAAUACCGCAUAGAUCCAAGAACCGCAUGGUUCUUGGCUGAAAGAUGGCGUAAGCUAUCGCUUUUGGAUGGACCCGCGGCGUAUUAGCUAGUUGGUGAGGUAAUGGCUCACCAAGGCGAUGAUACGUAGCCGAACUGAGAGGUUGAUCGGCCACAUUGGGACUGAGACACGGCCCAAACUCCUACGGGAGGCAGCAGUAGGGAAUCUUCCACAAUGGACGCAAGUCUGAUGGAGCAACGCCGCGUGAGUGAAGAAGGCUUUCGGGUCGUAAAACUCUGUUGUUGGAGAAGAAUGGUCGGCAGAGUAACUGUUGUCGGCGUGACGGUAUCCAACCAGAAAGCCACGGCUAACUACGUGCCAGCAGCCGC
rnacentral:rRNA from 1 species